GGAAGUAAAAGUGUAACAAGGUUUCCGUAGGUGAACCUGCGGAAGGAUCAUUAACACAAAAACAAAACCGUCCCCCCCCGAGAGGGGAGGGGCGACAAGCACCUCGCGUCGAACGACAUGAAGUCCCUGACGGCACGCCCCACGGGGCGCCCGCCGUCCAAAAGCGCCACAGCGGUAGACAGCCGUCUGAUCGGGGAUUCGCGGGCCCAGGCCCGCGUCUCUCGAGACAUACGAAAAACGUAGAUAACUUUUAACAACGGAUAUCUUGGUUCUC
rnacentral:misc_RNA from 1 species